AGUCCCAUGUUGGACAGUAGAUGUUAUUGGAAAGACUGUGGCUCCCUUUCAUGAAUUCUUUGUUAAAUUAACAAAAAAUUUUAAUGGACUCAGAAGGAAAUUUAGGGACAAUUUUGUAAUUUUAGGAAUUCAGCAGGGAAUGGAGGUCAACAAGCAGACACAUGACCAAUAGCAGGGCAGUUCCGAGUUUUUUGAUGAGAACGGACAGCACCUUGUCCAGUGGGUCCAUCACUCCUCUCUGAAGCCAUUUGGGAAUAGUAGUCCUGGCAUGGUGAAAGCCCAAUUUUUGAAGAAUAUAAUCAACACCUACAGGGUCAAUCUUUCUUCCAGUCCAAGAAAUUAAUCUGAAAUGGUAAUUAGAAAUCAGGGUCACUAUCAAGGUGUAUGAUUCAUGAACAUUACUGCACUCCCUUAAUAUACUCUGGAUAAAAUACUUUAGCAGAUACAUUUG
ensembl:antisense Gm12531 predicted gene 12531